rnacentral:rRNA from 1 species
GCCGCAGAGACCAGGUGGCUGCGACUGUUUAUUAAAAACACAGCACUCUGCAAAUUCGUAAGAAGACGUAUAGGGUGUGACGCCUGCCCGGUGCCGGAAGGUUAAUUGAUGGGGUUAUCUUCGGAGAAGCUCUUGAUCGAAGCCCCGGUAAACGGCGGCCGUAACUAUAACGGUCCUAAGGUAGCGAAAUUCCUUGUCGGGUAAGUUCCGACCUGCACGAAUGGCGUAACGAUGGCCACACUGUCUCCACCCGAGACUCAGUGAAAUUGAAAUCGCUGUGAAGAUGCAGUGUACCCGCGGCUAGACGGAAAGACCCCGUGAACCUUUACUAUAGUUUUGCACUGGACUUUGAUGAUGACUGUGUAGGAUAGGUGGGAGGCUGUGAAGUGAGGACGCUAGUUCUCAUGGAGCCGCCCUUGAAAUACCACCCUGUUGUUAUUGAGGUUCUAACUUGGUCCAGUAAUCCUGGAUGAGGACAGUGUAUGAUGGGUAGUUUGACUGGGGCGGUCUCCUCCCAAAGAGUAACGGAGGAGCACAAAGGUACCCUCGGUACGGUCGGACAUCGUACCAAGAGUGUAAAGGCAAAAGGGUGCUUGACUGCGAGAGUGACGGCUCGAGCAGGAACGAAAGUUGGUCUUAGUGAUCCGGUGGUUCUGAAUGGAAGGGCCAUCGCUCAACGGAUAAAAGGUACUCCGGGGAUAACAGGCUGAUACCGCCCAAGAGUUCAUAUCGACGGCGGUGUUUGGCACCUCGAUGUCGGCUCAUCACAUCCUGGGGCUGAAGCAGGUCCCAAGGGUAUGGCUGUUCGCCAUUUAAAGUGGUACGCGAGCUGGGUUUAGAACGUCGUGAGACAGUUCGGUCCCUAUCUGCCGUGGGCGUAGGAAAAUUGAGAGGAGCUGCUCCUAGUACGAGAGGACCGGAGUGGACGAACCUCUGGUGCACCGGUUGUCACGCCAGUGGCAUGGCCGGGUAGCUAAGUUCGGACGGGAUAACCGCUGAAAGCAUCUAAGCGGGAAGCCUCCCUCAAGAUGAGUUUUCCCAUGAAGCCCGUUGAAGACUACGACGUUGAUAGGCAAGGUGUGGAAGCGCAGUAAUGCGUGAAGCUAACUUGUACUAAUUGGCUGAUUGUCUUGACCAUAUAAUCUGAG